rnacentral:rRNA from 1 species
UACGGAGGAGGCAAGCGUUAUCCGGAAUUAUUGGCGUAAAGCGUCCGUAGGUGGCUCUCUCAAGUCUGCGGUCAAAAGACCGGGGCUCAACCCUGGAAAGGCCGUGGAAACUGGUGAGCUAGAGUGCGGUAGGGGCAGAGGGAAUUCCCAGUGUAGCGGUGAAAUGCGUAGAGAUUGGGAAGAACACCGGUGGCCGAAAGCGC